UAAAAAAGACUGUUUCACCACCAAAUGGGGCUCCAGAGAACGACAAGAAUGUGAAUCCUGCAGAUUCUGCUGUUGCUGAGACAUACAACAAUCUGUCAGAUAACUCAGACAGUUUUGCCGAAUGUCUCCAUUAUCCAAGUAAGACUUCCGGCAGUUAUUUUCAUAGAAGCAAUGUCAAGCUGUACAGAAGGACCUACAGUGUAUUUCCUGGCUAAAAAUUUAAUAAAGCUGCUACGCAAAAGCAGGGAAACAGUAGAGGAAAUCAGGAAGUGGGAGCCUUCAUGCUAAGCCAUGUAUGACUAACCCGUGAAUAAGGAACACAGAGUGCUGGAAGAGAAGUGGAAGCACGCCCAGAUGUGAACAGCAUGAGAGUUCUGAUGAAAAAAUGAAAUGUGUUGUUCAGAUAAUUGCCUCUGCGAAGAGUAAACAUACUCAGAACUGUGCAGCCUCGUGCCAUUUCUUAUUUUGCCCACAACAAAACAAAGUGUGACUGGAACACUGUACCAGUUUAUUACCUGUUAAUGUAUUACACAAAUGAACACUACACAACUUCCAUCUAGGCUCAUCUGUUUUGCAGAUGUACUUUUGUUCAGAUUCAAAAUGUAAGCAUGCGUGCCUGCAUCACCAUACCUGUAUAAAUGCAAAUGAGCUAACAAUAAAAAUACCU